rnacentral:rRNA from 1 species
GAUGAACGCUGGCGGCGUGCCUAAUACAUGCAAGUCGAACGAGGGCACUCACGUAGCAAUACGAGGGUGUUCCUAGUGGCGAACGGGUGAGUAACACGUUGGUGACCUGCCCCGAAGUGAGGGAUAACACCGCGAAAGUGGUGCUAAUACCCCAUGUGACCCGAGGGAUUAGAUGCCCUUGGUGGAAAGGCGAAAGCCGCUUCGGGAGGGGCCUGCGGCCCAUCAGCUAGUUGGCAGGGUAAUGGCCUAUCAAGGCGACGACGGGUAGGGGUCCUGGGAGGGUGGCCCCCCACACUGGCACUGAAACACGGGCCAGACACCUACGGGUGGCAGCAGUAGGGAAUAUUGGUAAUGGGCGAAAGCCCGACCCAGCAACGCCGCGUGUGCGAUGAAGGCCUUCGGGUUGUAAAGCACUUUUUAACGGGAUGAGGAAGGACAGUACCGUUAGAAUAAGCCUCGGCUAACUACGUGCCAGCCGCCGCGGUAAUAC